ACAGCCAGAUGCUUUGUAUUUUAGUGGGACAUACAGCCAGAUGCUUUGUAUUUUAGUUGGACAUACAGCCAGAUGCUUUGUAUUUUAGUGGGACAUACAGCCAGAUGCUUUGUAUUUUAGUUGGACAUACAGCCAUAUGCUUUGUAUUUUAGUUGGACAGACAGCCAGAUGCGUUGUAUUUUAGUGGGACAUCAUACAGCCAGAUGCUUUGUAUUUUAGUGGGACAUACAGCCAGAUGCUUUGUAUUUUAGUGGGACAU